rnacentral:rRNA from 1 species
GACGAACGCUGGCGGCGUGCUUAACACAUGCAAGUCGAACGGAAAGGCCCUGCUUUUGUGGGGUGCUCGAGUGGCGAACGGGUGAGUAACACGUGAGUAACCUGCCCUUGACUUUGGGAUAACUUCAGGAAACUGGGGCUAAUACCGGAUAGGAGCUCCUGCUGCAUGGUGGGGGUUGGAAAGUUUCGGCGGUUGGGGAUGGACUCGCGGCUUAUCAGCUUGUUGGUGGGGUAGUGGCUUACCAAGGCUUUGACGGGUAGCCGGCCUGAGAGGGUGACCGGCCAGAGUGGGACGGAGAUACGGCCGAGACUCCCACGGGAGGCAGCAGUGGGGAAGAGUGCACAAGGGGCGGAGGCCGGAUGCAGCAACGCCGCGUGCGGGAGGACGGCCGUGGGGUUGGAAACCGCUUGCGCCGGUGACGAAGCGUGAGUGACGGGAAUGGGUAAAGAAGCACCGGAUAACGACGUG